GGGCAUGAACCAGUCAUCAUAAAUAAACACUUUGGCUGGUGGCCUAGAAAUGAUGACGAGCAUCUGUAGAUCCUCAUGUUCAUUCGUAUUCCCAACCUGGUGAGCAUCAUUAACAGGUAUGAGAAAUGUACUGUUUGAAUAGAUAGGAAAUUCUUUUGGUGUUCCAGGGAACUUUUCAUGAGAACUAGAAGCGAGAUAGAGAGUGCCAGUCCCCUUCAGAACCACAAAAACUUCUUCACAGGAGUGCCUGUGAAUAGGUGUGCGUGAUCCAGG
rnacentral:misc_RNA from 1 species